UGAACGCUGGCGGCGUGCUUUACACAUGCAAGUCGAGCGAAGUUUUGCAGAACACCGCGAGACUUAGCGGCAGACGGGUGAGUAAUAUAUGGGAAACCUGCCUUAGAGAGUGGGAUAACUUAGAGAAAUCUAAGCUAAUACCGCAUAAGACCACAACUCGGCAUCGAGUAGAGGUAAAAGGCGUAAGCCACUUUAAGAUGGUCCCAUAUCCUAUCAGCUUGUUGGUGAGGUAACGGCUCACCAAGGCAAUGACGGGUAUCCGGCCUGAAAGGGUGAACGGACACACUGGAACUGAGACACGGUCCAGACUCCUACGGGAGGCAGCAGUGGGGAAUUUUGGACAAUGGGCGAAAGCCUGAUCCAGCGACGCCGCGUGAAGGAUGAAGGUCUUCGGAUUGUAAACUUCUUUUAGAGGGGACGAAAAAAAUGACGGUACCCUCAGAAUAAGCCACGGCUAACUAC
rnacentral:rRNA from 1 species